rnacentral:rRNA from 1 species
AGUCGAGGGGUAUGGUUCUUCGGAACCAGAGACCGGCGCACGGGUGCGUAACGCGUAUGCAAUCUGCCUUUCACAGAGGGAUAGCCCAGAGAAAUUUGGAUUAAUACCUCAUAGUAUAGCGACAUCGCAUGAUGAUGCUAUUAAAGUCACAACGGUGAAAGAUGAGCAUGCGUCCCAUUAGCUAGUUGGUAAGGUAACGGCUUACCAAGGCAACGAUGGGUAGGGGUCCUGAGAGGGAGAUCCCCCACACUGGUACUGAGACACGGACCAGACUCCUACGGGAGGCAGCAGUGAGGAGUAUUGGUCAAUGGGCGCAAGCCUGAACCAGCCAUGCCGCGUGCAGGAUGACGGUCCUAUGGAUUGUAAACUGCUUUUGCACAGGAAGAAACACUGAUUCGUGAAUCAGCUUGACGGUACUGUGAGAAUAAGGAUCGGCUAACUCCGUGCCAGCAGCCGCGGUAAUACGGAGGAUCCAAGCGUUAUCCGGAAUCAUUGGGUUUAAAGGGUCCGUAGGCGGUCUGGUAAGUCAGUGGUGAAAGCCCAUCGCUCAACGGUGGAACGGCCAUUGAUACUGCUGGACUUGAAUUAUUAGGAAGUAACUAGAAUAUGUAGUGUAGCGGUGAAAUGCUUAGAGAUUACAUGGAAUACCAAUUGCGAAGGCAGGUUACUACUAAUGGAUUGACGCUGAUGGACGAAAGCGUGGGUAGCGAACAGGAUUAGAUACCCUGGUAGUCCACGCCGUAAACGAUGGAUACUAGCUGUUGGAAGCAAUUUCAGUGGCUAAGCGAAAGUGAUAAGUAUCCCACCU